CCGGCGGCGGAAAACGCAGCGGAGCCGGAGCCGGGACUCGGCUGUGGCCGCUGCUUCUGUCCCCGCCGCGGAUCGCCGUGGCUCCAGGCUGAAGGUCGGUCCGGAGGCGGGUGGGCGCGGGUCUCCCCCGGAGUGUCCGGGCGGCAGCCUCCCCGGGCCCCCCGGGCUCCACAAGGGAUCAUGUCUACAGCCUCCGCCGCUUCCUCCUCCUCCUCGUCUUCGGCCGGUGAGAUGAUCGAAGCACCCACCCAAGUCCUCAACUUUGAAGAGAUCGACUACAAGGAGAUCGAGGUGGAAGAGGUUGUUGGAAGAGGAGCCUUUGGAGUAGUUUGCAAAGCUAAGUGGAGAGCAAAAGAUGUUGCUAUUAAACAAAUAGAAAGUGAAUCUGAGAGGAAAGCUUUUAUUGUAGAGCUUCGGCAGUUAUCCCGUGUGAACCAUCCUAAUAUUGUAAAGCUAUAUGGCGCCUGCUUGAAUCCAGUGUGUCUUGUGAUGGAAUAUGCUGAAGGGGGCUCUUUAUAUAAUGUGCUGCAUGGUGCUGAACCAUUGCCAUAUUACACUGCUGCCCACGCCAUGAGUUGGUGUUUACAGUGUUCCCAAGGAGUGGCCUAUCUUCACAGCAUGCAGCCCAAAGCUCUAAUUCACAGGGACCUGAAACCACCAAACUUGCUGCUGGUUGCAGGGGGGACAGUUUUAAAAAUCUGUGAUUUUGGUACAGCCUGUGACAUUCAGACACACAUGACCAAUAACAAGGGGAGUGCUGCUUGGAUGGCACCUGAAGUUUUUGAAGGUAGCAAUUACAGCGAAAAAUGUGACGUCUUCAGCUGGGGUAUUAUCCUUUGGGAAGUGAUAACACGUCGGAAACCCUUUGAUGAGAUUGGUGGCCCAGCUUUCCGUAUCAUGUGGGCUGUUCAUAACGGUACUCGACCGCCACUGAUCAAAAAUUUACCUAAGCCCAUUGAGAGCCUGAUGACUCGUUGUUGGUCUAAAGAUCCUUCUCAGCGCCCUUCAAUGGAGGAAAUUGUGAAAAUAAUGACUCACUUGAUGCGGUACUUUCCAGGAGCAGAUGAGCCGUUACAAUAUCCUUGUCAAUAUUCAGAUGAAGGACAGAGCAACUCUGCCACCAGUACAGGCUCAUUCAUGGACAUCGCUUCUACAAAUACCAGUAAUAAAAGUGACACUAAUAUGGAGCAGGUUCCUGCCACAAAUGAUACUAUUAAACGCUUAGAAUCAAAAUUGUUGAAAAAUCAGGCAAAGCAACAGAGUGAAUCUGGACGAUUAAGCUUGGGAGCGUCUCGUGGGAGCAGCGUAGAGAGCUUGCCCCCAACGUCCGAGGGCAAGAGAAUGAGUGCUGAUAUGUCUGAAAUAGAAGCCAGGAUUGCUGCGACCGCAGGCAACGGACAGCCAAGACGUAGAUCCAUCCAAGACUUGACUGUUACUGGAACAGAACCUAGUCAGGUGAGCAGUAGGUCAUCCAGUCCUAGCGUCCGAAUGAUCACUACCUCAGGACCAACCUCAGAAAAGCCAGCUCGAAGUCAUCCAUGGACCCCUGAUGAUUCCACGGAUACCAAUGGAUCGGAUAACUCCAUCCCAAUGGCUUAUCUUACACUGGAUCACCAACUACAGCCUUUAGCACCAUGCCCAAACUCCAAAGAAUCUAUGGCAGUGUUUGAACAGCAUUGUAAAAUGGCACAAGAAUAUAUGAAAGUUCAAACAGAAAUUGCGUUGUUAUUACAGAGAAAGCAAGAACUAGUUGCAGAACUGGACCAGGAUGAAAAGGACCAGCAAAAUACAUCUCGUCUGGUACAGGAACAUAAAAAGCUUUUAGAUGAAAACAAAAGCCUUUCUACUUACUACCAGCAAUGCAAAAAACAACUAGAGGUCAUCAGAAGUCAGCAGCAGAAACGACAAGGCACUUCAUGAUUCUCUGGGACUGUUAAAUUUGAAAAUAUGCAAAGAAAGACUUUUUUUUUUUUUUUUUUUUUAAGGAAAGACAAACCCUUAUAAUGACAAUUCAUGAGUGUUAGCUUUUUGGCGUGUUCUGAAUGCCAACUGCCUAUGUUUGCUGCAUUUGUUUUAUCGUUCAUUUUCCUUUUCUCAUGGUGGACAUGCAAUUCAACUGUCUCCUUGCAUAAUAUGGGGGCAUCUGUGACUUGAAUAAGCAGCAGUUCUCAACUUCAGAACAGAUGCAGUAAACCGCAGCUGUAUAUGCAUGCUCAUUGUGUGAAGGCUAGCCUAACAAAAACAGGGGUAUCAAACUAGCUGCUAUGUGCAAACGUUGUCUUUUUUUUUCGAGGUGGAACCUCAAGAAUGAUUUUGUUCUUGUAUCUCAUCUCAAAAAACAAAUAAUUUUUUUCCAAAAUAUGGUAUAUACCAAGUUAAAGACAGGGUAUUAUAGAUCUAGAAUAAUUGGUACAUUAUAGAAAUGCAGAACCUUUAGGGAUAGUUCAAAGUGAGUGCUUUGAUGCCAGCAUCCUUGGAUCAGUACUGAACUUAGUUCCAUCCAUAAGAUAUUUAAAGUUUUGCUCUAUUUCAGAUAAGCAAGUUGAUCUAAGAAGUUAUCAAAACUAUUCUUAAAAAUACUAAAGCAGGUAACUUUUUCUUCCAUUAUUUUUCCCUCUUCCCACUGAAUUUUAUAAUGUAUUCCUUGUGUAUACAAGCAAUAAAGGUAAAGGGCAGUUUGUACUGAACUGUGUCAUUUUUAGCUUCUUCAAAAUCUAUAAUUAGACAGUUUCUGGAAAAUAAAUGUCUACCAUCACUUCAUUUAAGGAAAAGAAGUGUUAUUAUUCCCAAAUAAUUUGAUUACCUAGCUGAAAGUGAUAUUGGGCUCAACAUAUUAAUAGUAAGAUAAAACUGGCACGGAAAAUAACUGUAGACUGAGGAAAAGCGGAACUCAUUCAUAGCAUGGCUGCUUGUGUGUACAUCUGUCACUCCACCAAAAGGGACCCCUAGUCAGUGUUCAGAGACUUUUCUAAUUAUCUCAGAGCAUGAGAUAGCCAAGCAUGGAUACUAAGGCUUGACUUUUCCAUUAGGGUUUAGUAUUAUAGAUUUCAGAUUUUAUUUCUACUCAUUAAUUUUGCUAUACAUUACAUACUUAAAGGAAAAUUUUAUUAUUAUUAUUAUUAUUAUUACAUGCAAUCACUUCAUAAAAAUAUCCAAAUAGGUAAAUGGAAGAAAAUCGUAGUUUUAAGUCAUGGUGCCCAAUGCAAAAAAGGCUGUUGCACACUUGCUUGUUUGUUUACAGUGAGUUCCUGGGGAUCUUAGGUACUGUAGUUGUCUUGGACACUGAGUGCAGUUCAGCCUUACUUGAUUUUUAAGUAGUUGUGUUGCCAAGCUCAUACUUGUUAAGUCCUGAUUAUCCUUGAUAAUGGGAGAAAGGUAGCAGGGAUAAUCAAAAUCCACAGUGUCCUCACCCUUCAAACAAAGAUGUUAACAAGGAGCCAAAUUUUUUGUUAAUUCUGGUUUUACCAUUUCUUCUAACCCUUGUUUUUUUUGGUUGGAAAUAGCAAACAGACAAGCAAGUGGCUAAAAGCAGUGUAAGAAAUUCAUGAACAAUCCCUGAACAAGCCCUAAUUACAUUUUAUUCUUGUCUCUGGGGAAAGAAAACAAAGCUUUUAUCUAAUCUAGAGGGAAAUACUCCUCAGCAGUAAGAAUAGCUUUUUUGAGUCAAAUAAAAGUCGGUUAAGGAUAUUUACCUUAUAGCAACACAACAUAUUGAAGAGAUAUGUUUAAAAGUUGUUUACAAAUGUUUGACUAUUUUGCUGAAGUAUUUUAGAGUAUUGAAUGUCUUUUUUUCUCCAAGUUUUUUUUAUGUUCGUAGUUUCCGCUCCUGCCUGUAGCCAGAGAUCAUAGACCUUACCUGUGAAAUUUUGUUUCUUUCUGUAAGUGUAUGUGGUUUUCAGCAGUCAGCUCCUCUCUUCAAAUGGUAGGAAGUUCUGCUUCUGUCAUUCAGAACAUUUUAUGUAAAAUGAUGUAAUGCAGAAAUCCUUGUGCAUACUGUAUAAUUGAAGGAAGCUUUUUAGAUUUAUUUUUGUUUGUAAUAAAAUUCAGAUUGUUAUUCUAAACUUA